rnacentral:piRNA from 1 species
CUGCCUCCUGAGAGCUGGGAUUAAAGG